UACGUAGGUGGCAAGCGUUGUCCGGAUUUAUUGGGUUUAAAGGGUGCGUAGGCGGUCUAUUAAGUCAGUGCUGAAAUAUCCCGGCUUAACCGGGAGGGUGGCAUUGAUACUGAUGGACUUGAGUAAAGUUGAGGUAGGCGGAAUUGACGGUGUAGCGGUGAAAUGCUUAGAUAUCGGGAGGAACACCAGUGGCGAAGGCGACUACCUGGCCUGUUCUUGACGCUGAGGCGCGAAAGCUAGGGGAGCAAACGGG
rnacentral:rRNA from 1 species